CAGCAGCCGCGGGAAUACGAAGGGGGCUAGCGUUGUUCGGAAUUACUGGGCGUAAAGCGCACGUAGGCGGAUCGAUCAGUCAGGGGUGAAAUCCCAGGGCUCAACCCUGGAACUGCCUUUGAUACUGUCGAUCUGGAGUAUGGAAGAGGUGAGUGGAAUUCCGAGUGUAGAGGUGAAAUUCGUAGAUAUUCGGAGGAACACCAGUGGCGAAGGCGGCUCACUGGUCCAUUACUGACGCUGAGGUGCGAAAGCGUGGGGAGCAAACAGGAUUAGAUACCCGUGUAGUCCCUGUCUCUUAUAA
rnacentral:rRNA from 1 species